GACGAACGCUGGCGGCGUGCUUAACACAUGCAGUCGGACGGAAAGGCCCUGCUUUUGUGGGGUGCUCGCGUGGCGAACGGGUGAGUAACACGUGAGUAACCUGCCCUUGACUUUGGGAUAACUUCAGGAAACUGGGGCUAAUACCGGAUAGGAGCUCCUGCUGCAUGGGGGGGGUUGGAAAGUUUCGGCGGUUGGGGAUGGACUCGCGGCUUAUCAGCUUGUUGGUGGGGUAGUGGCUUACCAAGGCUUUGACGGGUAGCCGGCCUGAGAGGGUGACCGGCCACAUUGGGACUGAGAUACGGCCCAGACUCCUACGGGAGGCAGCAGUGGGGAAUAUUGCACAAUGGGCGGAAGCCUGAUGCAGCAACGCCGCGUGCGGGAUGACGGCCUUCGGGUUGUAAACCGCUUUCGCCUGUGACGAAGCGUGAGUGACGGUAAUGGGUAAAGAAGCACCGGCUAACUACGUG
rnacentral:rRNA from 1 species